rnacentral:rRNA from 1 species
GACGAACGCUGGCGGCGUGCUUAACACAUGCAAGUCGAACGGAAAGGCCCUGCUUUUGUGGGGUGCUCGAGUGGCGAACGGGUGAGUAACACGUGAGUAACCUGCCCUUGACUUUGGGAUAACUUCAGGAAACUGGGGCUAAUACCGGAUAGGAGCUCCUGCUGCAUGGUGGGGGUUGGAAAGUUUCGGCGGUUGGGGAUGGACUCGCGGCUUAUCAGCUUGUUGGUGGGGUAGUGGCUUACCAAGGCUUUGACGGGUAGCCGGCCUGAGAGGGUGACCGGCCACAUUGGGACGGAGAUACGGCCCAGACUCCUACGGGAGGCAGCAGUGGGGAAUAUUGCACAAUGGGCGGAAGCCUGAUGCAGCAACGCCGCGUGCGGGAUGACGGCCUUCGGGUUGUAAACCGCUGUCGCCUGUGACGAAGCGUGAGUGACGGUAAUGGGUAAAGAAGCACCGGCUAACUACGUG